rnacentral:rRNA from 1 species
CCUACGGGAGGCAGCAGUGAGGAAUAUUGGUCAAUGGACGCAAGUCUGAACCAGCCAUGCCGCGUGCAGGAAGACGGCUCUAUGAGUUGUAAACUGCUUUUGUACGAGGGUAAACGCAGAUACGCGUAUCUGUCUGAAAGGAUCGUACUAAUAAGGAUCGGCUAACUCCGUGCCAGCAGCCGCGGUAAUACGGAGGAUUCAAGCGUUAUCCGGAUUUAUUGGGUUUAAAGGGUGCGUAGGCGGUCGGAUAAGUUAGAGGUGAAAUCCCGAGGCUCAACUUCGGAAUUGCCUCUGAUACUGUGCGGCUAGAGAGUAGUUGCGGUAGGCGGAAUGUAUGGUGUAGCGGUGAAAUGCUUAGAGAUCAUACAGAACACCUAUUGCGAAGGCAGCUUACCAAGCUACUUCUGACGUUGAGGCACGAAAGCGUGGGGAGCAAACAGGAUUAGAUACCCGGGUAGUC